AGAGCGCAGGGCGGAUGCCUUGGCAUUGGGAACCGAAGAAGGACGCGGUUAACUGCGAAAAGCUGCGGUGAGUUGUAAGCGAACUAAGACCCGCAGAUAUCCGAAUGGAGCAAUCCACAUGAGAGAAGCUCAUGUAUCAUAUACUGAAUCAAUAGGUAUAUGAGGGGAACCUCCCGAACUGAAACAUCUAAGUAGGGAGAGGAAAAGAAAUCAACCGAGAUUUCGAGAGUAGUGGCGAGCGAAAUCGAAAGAGGCCAAACCGACGGAAGCAAUUCAGUCGGGGUUGCGGACUGCAAAAAGCAAUGUCGAAGCUUAAUAGAACAGGAUGGGAAGCCUGACCGAAGAACGUGAAAGUCGUGUAAAUGAAAAGCAGAGACAGCAGGCAGAAUCCAGAGUACCGCGGGACACGAGAAACCCCGUGGGAAGCAGGGGGGACCACCCUCCAAGCCUAAAUAUUCCCCAAUGACCGAUAGCGAAGAGUACUGUGAAGGAAAGGUGAAAAGAACCCCGGGAGGGGAGUGAAAAAGAACCUGAAACCCUGUGCUUACAAGCACUGAGAGCACGUCAAAGUGUGAUCAGGUACCUUUUGUAGAAUGGUCCGGCGAGUUAUCGUAUGCAGCAAGGUUAAGAACUUAAGGUUUGAAGCCGAAGCGAGAGCAAGUCUGAAAAGGGCGUCAAGUUGCAUGCGAUAGACCCGAAACCGAGUGACCUAGCCAUGUCCAGGCUGAAGUGGAGGUAAAACUCCAUGGAGGGCCGAACCGACCCCCGUUGAAAAGGUGGCGGAUGAGGUGUGGCUAGCGGAGAAAUUCCAAUCGAACUCGGAUAUAGCUGGUUCUCCCCGAAAUAGCUUUAGGGCUAGCGUUGUAUUAGAUUACCGGAGGUAAAGCACUGAAUGGGCUAGGGGCCGAAAGGUUACUGAACCUUAUCAAACUAAGAAUGCCGGAUAAUUGAUGUACAGCAGUCAGACUGUGUGAGAUAAGUCUCAUAGUCGAAAGGGAAACAGCCCAGACCCACAGCUAAGGUCCCGAAAUAGAUUUAAGUGGAAAAGGAUGUGGGGUUGCACAGACAACCAGGAUGUUGGCUUAGAAGCAGCCACUCAUUAAAAGAGUGCGUAAUAGCUCACUGGUCGAGUGACCCUGCGCCGAAAAUUCAACGGGGCUAAAAUCUAUACCGAAGCUUGGGCUGCAAUUGAAAGAUUGCGGGGUAGGGGAGCGUCGUAUAAGAGGAGAAGUCAUAGCGGAAGCGAUGGUGGAUUUUAUACGAGUGAGAAUGCCGGAAUGAGUAGCGAGAAUUAUGUGAGAAUCAUAAUGGCCGAAAAUCUAAGGUUUUAGGAGGAAGGUUCGUCCGCUCCUAGUAAGCCGGGAGCUAAGGCGAGGCGGAAACGCGUAGCCGAUGCACAUACGGUAGAAAUUCCGUAGCCUCUGAAAGAUUUAAGCACAAGGACACUUGAGAAGCGUUUAUCCGGGAGUUGGUAUUCCCGGUCGUAAGGGACCCCGAAUGGGGGAAGUAAAUGUGGAUUGAGGCAAGAAAAGUUGUGUGAAUAUCUGAAGAGCCCGUACCGCAAACCGACACAGGUAGAUAGGAAGAGAAUUCUAAGGCCAACGGGAGAAGGGUUGUUAAGGAACUCGGCAAGUUGACCCCGUAACUUCGGAAUAAGGGGUGCUCAUGAAAGUGAGCCGCAGAGAAUAGGCCCAGGCAACUGUUUACCAAAAACACAGGUUUGUGCUAAAUCGAAAGAUGACGUAUACGAGCUGACGCCUGCCCGGUGCUGGAAGGUUAAAAGGAGAUGUGCAAGCAUUGAAUUGAAGCCCCAGUGAACGGCGGCCGUAACUAUAACGGUCCUAAGGUAGCGAAAUUCCUUGUCAGGUAAGUUCUGACCCGCACGAAUGGUGUAACGAUUUGGGCACUGUCUCAACAACCCGCCCGGCGAAAUUGUAGUACCGGUGAAGAUGCCGGUUACCCGCGACUAGACGGAAAGACCCCAUGGAGCUUCACUGCAGCUUAAUAUUGGAUUUUGGUAUUUCAUGUACAGGAUAGGUGGGAGACUGAGAAGCAAAGGCGUCAGCUUUUGUGGAGUCGCUGUUGGGAUACCACUCUUGAAGUGCUGAAAUUCUAACCUGCGCCCUUGAAUCAGGGCGGGGGACAUUGUUAGGUGGGCAGUUUGACUGGGGCGGUCGCCUCCAAAAAGGUAACGGAGGCGCUCAAAGGUUCGUUCAGCACGGACGGAAAUCGUGCAUUGAGUGUAAACGCAUAAACGAGCCUAACUGCGAGACCGACGGGUCGAGCAGUAACGAAAGUUGGAGUUAGUGAUCCGGUGGUAUGUGAGUGGAAAUGCCAUCGCUCAACGGAUAAAA
rnacentral:rRNA from 1 species